rnacentral:misc_RNA from 1 species
UACGGAGGGUGCAAGCGUUGCUCGGAAUCACUGGGCGUAAAGCGACCGCAGGCGGCCCAGUCCGUCGGAUGUGAAAGCCCGGAGCUCAACUCCGGAAUUGCAUUCGAAACUGCUGGGCUUGAAUACGGGAGAGGGAAGUGGAAUUCCUGGUGUAGAGGUGAAAUUCGUAGAUAUCAGGAGGAACACCAGUGGCGAAAGCGGCUUCCUGGCCCGAUAUUGACGCUCAUGGUCGAAAGCGUGGGGAGCAAACAGG